GUGCCCUUGCAGUCGUCUCCAGCAGCAACGAGGAGGCUGAGGGACGCUUUUCGAUGGAACAAGUCUUGUUAAUAGCUUCUGGAAUUUCUUGAAUGUACUCACAUCACUCGUUUAAAGUAGCAGACUGAACUGUACACAAUACCUAAGCAACAGAAAAGUGACCCUUCUGAAAACUCACAUGCAAAUAGAGAGAGAACAAAGAGUAGCAAUGCUACAAGAGAACCUAAAAGUAAAGCAAAAAGAAGGAUUUGUUACAACAAAGAAAAAUCAUAAAACCUGCGAAUGAUACAGAAUGAUCCAACACAUCUUGUAUACCUGAAAAAGGAGCUCCAGGAUAACCAGGACAUUCAUUUCCAAGUAUUACUGGGUUUUGUUUUAUUUGUUUUUCCAUCUAGGAAGUAAAGCAAAACACUGAACAAUAAUGGAACUUAUUAUUGACAAGUAUUCAUUUCAGACUAUUAGAAGAUACAGGUGAGAAAACUAUAGAUGCGCUGUCAUAACAUUUCAAAGUGCUCCAAAAUUAUUUCAAAUUGCAAAUGCACUCCUGUACUUAAAAAUUAAGGAAGGGAGCACCAAAUCUGAAACAUACCUGUCAGUUUAAUAUCAUUUGCCGGUAGUUAUUUGAAUUUUUCAUGUGGAAUACGGUAACCAAGCAACUGGAUGGAUUGAUAAAAGAAGGUCCAUAUGGAUUUGUGAAAGUUGUCAAAUUUCUCUGUUUGCACCACUGCCUGACAUGAAUUUAUACUCUUCCAUAUAUGGAGCUGUCAACCAAUUAUCCUGCACCAGCGUAGGCAUUUUGUUCUACUGCAAGCUGAUGCAUUUUUAUUGCAGCUACCCAAUGCCUAGGUUGCCCUUAUCGUUGAAUAAUUCGGAGCACUGAUGUCAGCACUGAAACGUGUGCAAGAUGGGGCAUGGUUUUUAAAAAGUCGAAUUUGCAAUUUUACAUUUCCAGAUGCUGAUUUUUGAUGCCACUUAAAGUCAACAGUGUAAAGUUUACAUAGCCUUGUGCGACCAGCCUGAGAAGUCAUUUUGCCUGUGAGCUGAUAAAUGUGGCAGCUUAUGUCAUCUAGCAUAUGCCAAUGAAAGCUAAUUAAAUUUGUGAACAUAAUGAAAAGAUAGGUGGCACAACUGUCUUGCAGGGCUGUUAAAUCUCAACUAAUUAAUGAGAAGGUGAACUUUGUCUACCAUUUCACCCAACCAACAAAGUACUGCAAGUUCUUGGGAAAGGCAAAAUGAAAUAAGAGAAAAACAAAACUUACUUUCAGCAAAAACAUUAAGAAAUCCCAUCAUGGAAUCUUCAGGCAGUCAACAAUCUCGAGAUAAACACCCAUUAAAAUACCAUGACAAAUGUACCUAAUUGAUAUAAACAUCUCCAUGCUUAGACCCCAGUGCCUCUUACUGAACUUGCCAGACCUUUAGUAAAAGUUUGAAGAUUCAUGUUUACUUUUUCAUUCAAUUGAAAAAGCAACAAAUAUCUGAAUAAAAGCUUUAUAAUUCAGUUAUGUACAGGACCAAGAGAGUUCUGUGUCGUUGUAGGUGACAGUUUUUGGAUGGGAAAUUAAUCCUAGGACCAAUAGAAUCAAAGAGUUGUUAAGGCUGUAGAAGGAGGUCAUUCAGCCCAGCAUGUCUGCCCUGGCUCGCUAAUCAAGCGAUUCAUCAAGUUCCCUUCUUUUCUCAAAACUCUAUACAUUCUCCCCAUUUUCAGCUAAGUAUUUUUCUUUUAUAUUUUAACUCAAAAUGAGAUUUCAGGGAAAAUUUUAUUCAGAAAUCUUUAAGUAAAACCAAACAAAAGCAAUGCACAUAAUCACCUUAUCAAUAGUUUUUGAGUUCAGUCCUGAUUUUGAGGCUUCCUGUAAGCACGAAUGGUGGAUUUCGGGUCAGAUUCUUUGCGAACAAGCUGGUUUCCUGUCGUUGUGAAAAUGGAAUGUCGUUUUGAUCUCGGACAGAAAGAUAUCUCAUCAGUAAUCCCAUUUCUGGUUAAUCAUCUAGUUUAAUGUCUAUUCUGUUUGGUCAAUAUCUUUCACCUUGCUGUUUCCUUCUGUUAUUUAGUUGAUAAGUCUUUUAGUUAUUGGAUAAUUACAUUGUUGUAUUAAGCUCAUAUUCAAUAAACUUUGACA